rnacentral:rRNA from 1 species
AACGAACGCUGGCGGCAUGCCUAACACAUGCAAGUCGAACGAGACCUUCGGGUCUAGUGGCGCACGGGUGCGUAACGCGUGGGAACCUGCCCUUAGGUUCGGAAUAACUCCCCGAAAGGGGUGCUAAUACCGGAUAAUGUCUUCGGACCAAAGAUUUAUCGCCUUUGGAUGGGCCCGCGUUGGAUUAGCUAGUUGGUAGGGUAAAAGCCUACCAAGGCGACGAUCCAUAGCUGGUCUGAGAGGAUGAUCAGCCACACUGGGACUAAGACACGGCCCAGACUCCUACGGGAGGCAGCAGUGGGGAAUAUUGGACAAUGGGCGAAAGCCUGAUACAGCAAUGCCGCGUGAGUGAUGAAGGCCUUAGGGUUGUAAAGCUCUUUUACCCGGGAUGAUAAUGACAGUACCGGGAGAAUAAGCACCGGCUAACUACGUG